CACCAGUCCGGGACCCAGGACAUAUGACGGUACAUCAGCCUUGCAAGUGUUUUUAUGUGCGCCGACAGUAUGCCGACAGCAUCGAGGUUUCUACAUAUCCCCGGUGGCCAGCAAUUCAACGGUGACGAGAACCUUAGCUUUACGCUGAAGCAGUGCCGCUGCGUCUGGUUCUGACCGCGACGGUCGGUCGAUGCAUCCACCAAUGGAAAAGAUAGUACAAGCGCGGUAUACGAAUCAACCUUGCCGAUGUCAUCUGCAGAAGUCGCAGAAACGAGAAAUAAACAAACACUUAUUACAAA